rnacentral:rRNA from 1 species
GACGAACGCUGGCGGCGUGCUUAACACAUGCAAGUCGAACGGAAAGGCCCUGCUUUUGUGGGGUGCUCGAGUGGCGAACGGGUGAGUAACACGUGAGUAACCUGCCCUUGACUUUGGGAUAACUUCAGGAAACUGGGGCUAAUACCGGAUAGGAGCUCCUGCUGCAUGGUGGGGGUUGGAAAGUUUCGGCGGUUGGGGAUGGACUCGCGGCUUAUCAGCUUGUUGGUGGGGUAGUGGCUUACCAAGGCUUUGACGGGUAGCCGGCCUGAGAGGGUGACCGGCCACCUUGGGACUGAGAUACGGCCCAGACUCCUACGUGAGGCAGCAGUGGGGAAUAUUGCACAAUGGGCGGAAGCCUGUUGCAGCAACGCCGCGUUCGGGAUGACGGCCUUCGGGUUGUAAACCGCUUUCGCCUGUGACGAAGCGUUAGUGACGGUAAUGGGUAAAGAAGCACCGGCUAACUACGUG